rnacentral:lncRNA from 10 species
AAGUCAUAGUCUGAGUUUCAAAUCCAGGUACUGGAAGGAAGUGUUAUUAGCCAUUUUGAUGAUCAGUUCCAUGUCAUCUUUCUGAUAAUGUAAAUAAUUAUUCCUUUAAAAAUCCUAAAUAGAGAAGAAAUCAGAACCCUUUAAAAUGUAAAUCAUUGAAGAAGUACGCAUUGACUUUAUUUUCAAAUUUUGAUGAAUUCAUGAACUUACUCAUAGAUAAUAAUAUGGCUUUAGAGACUUGGCAUUUUUCUUGCUUUACUAUGGUUUUUUUUUUAAUCGUAAGUUUGCUUUGUCUUAUUUUUUGGUUUUAUUUUUGUCCUACUGGGUUUUUUCCUUUUGGAUUUUUCCCCCCUUUGUUACGUUACAUAUUGCUAGGAACUGGAUAAGGCCCAGGAGGACAUACUGAAACAUCAGGCUAGCAUUAGUGAACUCAAGCGCAAUUUUAUGGAAUCCACACCUGAGCCGCGCCCUAAUGAAUGGGAAAAACGACGUAUCACACCUCUGUCCCUACAGACACAAGGGAGUUCACAUGAGACUCUGAAUAUAGUGGAGGAGAAGAAGCGGGCAGAGGU